rnacentral:rRNA from 1 species
UACGGGGGGGGCAAGCGUUGUUCGGAAUUACUGGGCGUAAAGGGUGCGUAGGCGGUUCGCUAAGUCGGAUGUGAAAACUCUGGGCUCAACCCAGAGCCUGCAUCCAAAACUGGCGGGCUAGAGUUCUGGAGGGGGUAGCGGAAUUCCUGGUGUAGCGGUGAAAUGCGUAGAUAUCAGGAGGAACACCGGUGGCGAAGGCGCUGCUCUGGGCCGAAACUGACGCUGAGGAGCGAAAGCGUGGGUAGCAAACAGG